rnacentral:lncRNA from 11 species
CCUUAUUCAUGCAAAAUGUCUUGAUUGAGACCUUUAAGUGUGUUUGAUUAUGUGCCUUGAUGACGAAACACUGGGGUCAUGCCAAGAAAUGAAUACAUCACUGCAAAUUGAAGCAAAUAUGUCUGGUUCUUACCUGCAUUUGGAACACUCUGUAUAUAACUUGGCCUCCUGGAUAGUUCAAGGAAUAAAUGAAUAAGAAAAAAUGAAUGUUUUGAGCUGAUUCUGUA